AUUGAACGCUGGCGGCAGGCUUAACACAUGCAAGUCGAACGAGUGGCGGACGGGUGAGUAAUGCUUGGGAAUCUAGCUUAUGGAGGGGGAUAACUACGGGAAACUGUAGCUAAUACCGCGGACCAUAGGCUGAGCCCAAGUGGGAUUAGGUAGGUGGUGGGGUAAAGGCUCACCAAGCCGACGAUAUCUAGGUGGUCUGAGAGGAUGACCAGCCACACGGGGACUGAGACACGGCCCAGACUCCGACGGGAGGCAGCAGUGGGGAAUAUUGCGCAAUGGGGGCAACCUGACGCAGCCAUGCCGCGUGAAUGAAGAAGGCCUUCGGGUUGUAAAGUUCUUUCGGUAGCGAGGCGUUAACUACAGAAGAAGCACCGGCUAACUCCGUGCCAGCACCGCGGAAAUAC
rnacentral:rRNA from 1 species